AGAAGAAAAGAAAGAUAGAAAGAUGGGGAGUGCUGGUAGGAGUGCCUUAGCUUUCGCUAGGGGUUAUCCUUUUAAAAGUUCUUUUGGUCAUAGCGCACUCUUUCUUUAUCUUUCUUUCUUUCUUUCUUUCUUUUUAUAAGGGUAGUAGCUAGCUACUUUUCAAGAGAAGGAAAGAAAGAAGAUUGAUUGCAAUAUUAU
rnacentral:ribozyme from 1 species